UACGUAGGGUGCGAGCGUUAAUCGGAAUUACUGGGCGUAAAGCGUGCGUAGGCGGUUCGUUAAGUUCGUUGUGAAAGCCCCGGGCUCAACCUGGGAAUGGCAAUGGAAACUGGCGGGCUGGAGUACGGUAGGGGCAGAGGGAAUUUCCGGUGGAGCGGUGAAAUGCGUAGAGAUCGGAAAGAACACCAACGGCGAAAGCACUCUGCUGGGCCGACACUGAGAGACGAAAGCUAGGGGAGCGAAUGGG
rnacentral:rRNA from 1 species